rnacentral:rRNA from 1 species
GGAGCNUGUGGUUUAAUUCGAAGCAACGCGAAGAACCUUACCAGGUCUUGACAUCCUUUGACCACUCGAGAGAUCGAGCUUUCCCUUCGGGGACAAAGUGACAGGUGGUGCAUGGUUGUCGUCAGCUCGUGUCGUGAGAUGUUGGGUUAAGUCCCGCAACGAGCGCAACCCUUAUUACUAGUUGCCAGCAUUCAGUUGGGCACUCUAGUGAGACUGCCGGUGACAAACCGGAGGAAGGUGGGGAUGACGUCAAAUCAUCAUGCCCCUUAUGACCUGGGCUACACACGUGCUACAAUGGAUGGUACAACGAGUCGCGAAGUCGUGAGGCCAAGCUAAUCUCUUAAAGCCAUUCUCAGUUCGGAUUGUAGGCUGCAACUCGCCUACANGAAGCCNGAAUCGC